rnacentral:rRNA from 1 species
UACGGAGGGUGCAAGCAUUAAUCGGAUUUAUUGGGCGUAAAGGGCGCGUAGGCGGGAAGAUAAGUCAGAUGUGAAAUCCCGGGGCUCAACCCCGGAACAGCAUUUGAAACUGUUUUUCUUGAGGGUAGGCGGAGAAAACGGAAUUCCACAAGUAGCGGUGAAAUGCGUAGAUAUGUGGAAGAACACCGGUGGCGAAGGCGGUUUUCUAGCUUAAACCUGACGCUAAAGCGCGAAAGCAAGGGGAUCAAACAGG